AUGGCUGGCGAAGCCAUCUCGAUAGAUGAAUUUAUGGAGUACGACUCGAUGGUCAGGCAGACAUUUAAAAGUGAGAACGAAGCGUACAAGUUCUACUUAGGGUAUGCGAAGAACAAAGGGUUUGGUAUUAGAAAGGGCGAUCUGAAAUAUAAGGGAAACAAGGAAAAUGCAUACCGGAGGACGUUUGUGUGUUGCAAACAAGGAUAUCGUGACGUAAAGCACUUUGAUGAAACCGACAAGAAAAGGACGCCAAGGGCACUCUCUGGGUGUGGUUGUCCUGCUCUUUUGCAGGUUGAGCUUCAAGCAAGCACUGGGUUGUGGUUUGUAAAGAAUUUUGUUGACCAACAUAGCCAUCCAUUCAUAAAUCCUGAGUUGUCACCUUUCUUGUGGUCUCAUCGUGGCAUGACCGAUCCACAGAAGGCGGAUGUCAUUGAGUACUCGGUUGGUGGACUUCGCACACAUCAGAUAAUGGAUGUGAUGGAGAAGCAGGCUGGUGGUUUGGGCAAGGUUGGAUUUAUAUCUCGCGAUCUGUAUAACCAUGUCGCGUUGGAGAAGAAGAAAAAGAUAGAAGGUAGCGAUGCUCAAUUUAUGCUGAACUACAUGACAGCACAACAGAUGAAAGACCCAGAUUUUUUUUACAGAUACACCACAGACAGUGAUGGGCAUCUGCAGAACAUAUUCUGGGCAGACGCCCAAUCUCGCUUGGACUAUGUUGCAUUUGGUGGUGUGGUGGUGUUUGACAGCACAUACCGGUCAAACAAAUAUAGGUUGCCGUUUGUUCCAUUUGUGGGGCUGAACCAUCACCGCAUCACAGUCGUGUUUGGGGUUGGUCUUGUAUCCGACGAGUCGGCUAACUCAUAUGAGUGGCUGCUUCAGGUUUUUUUGGAGGCAAUGCACCAGAAGCAUCCCAUCUCAGCGAUCACAGACGGCGACGUUUCAAUGGCCAAAGCCAUAUCAUCAGUCUGGCCUAGCACAUAUCACCGUCUGUGCAUCUGGCAUAUCGAGCAGAAUAUGGUGUUUCACCUCCGAAAGGAAAAGUUUAAGGAAUUUAGGAAAUUUAUUUACUAUGCCAUGGAGGUUCAUGAGUUUGAGAGACGCUGGUUGGCUUAUAAGAAGAGAUUCAGAAUCACAAGGAAAAAGAAAGAUGCAUGGAUUCACAGGAUGUACGAGCUGAGAGAAAAGUGGUCUGUAGCAUAUAACAAGGGAAGGUAUUUCCUAGGGAUGCUGAGCAAUCAGAGGAGUGAGUCUCUAAACUCGAGGCUUCAUGUGCACCUGAAUAGGAGAAUGAAACUCGUUGAUCUCGUGCAACACGUUGAACACUGUGUGUCAGUUUUGCGUAGGAAUGAAGCAGCAUUGGACGCUGUAGCUUCGCACACAAUCUCCUUCACUAGAUUGACUGCCGAUCCACUUGAGAUAAGUGCCUCAUCUAUUUAUACCCCUGUUAUGUUCAGUAAGGUAAAGGACGAGAUUGUCAACUUAUCAAGAUGGAAUGUUCUUGAGGUGGAAGAGGACACUGGUUUGGUUAGCUAUGGAGUUGCUCGCAAAGAGUCGGUGCACGUUAGGUUCCAUGUCACAUGUAUUUUUGAUGGAUCUAAGAUGGAAAGUGCAUAUUGUGGAUGUAGGAAGAUGGAAAGCGAGGAUUUUCCAUGUGCUCAUAUAUUUUGCGUUUUGAAGUACAAUGGGAUAUGCACCAUCCCCGCAUGUUGUGUGAAGGCUAGAUGGGCAAUGCAAGCCAAGCCUGCUUUCAGUUCUGUGAGGAGUGCCAAUACACAUGUAUGGUCAGAACAGAUGGAUAAGUACCAUGAACUGCGCAAUAUGGCUAGUGAGGCUUUAUUCACGGCCUCAGCUAGUGAAAUGCAGUCAGAAAAGGUGAUGGAGUACCUGAGGAGCAUAUUGGACGAGGGCAACAAAAAUGAUGGGAAUACUGGCACGCCAUCAUUUGUUCCUAUGCCGGCUUAUUUUUCUGGGGCGCGGCAAUGGUUUACAGAUCAAGUCCAAGACCCUAAACCAAUAAUAAAUCCCAAAGGCAGACCAGCCAAAGAAUCGAAUAAGAGGUUGAAGCCAUUCCUGGAGAAUUUGCAAGCAAAAAAAUGGAAACACAUAUUGAUAUAG
rnacentral:rRNA from 1 species